UCUCCGUAGGUGAACCUGCGGAGGGAUCAUUACUGAGUGAGGGCUCACGCCCGACCUCCAACCCUUUGUGAACACAUCUUGUUGCUUCGGGGGCGACCCUGCCGGCACUCUGUCGCCGGGCGCCCCCGAAGGCCUCCACACACUGCAUCUUUGCGUCGUAGUUUAAAACAAAUUAAACAAAACUUUCUACAACGGAUCUCUUGGUUCUGGCAUCUAUGAAGAACACAGC
rnacentral:misc_RNA from 1 species